GACAGAGGGUGCAAACGUUGUUCGGAAUUACUGGGCGUAAAGCGCGUGUAGGCGGCCAUCUAAGUCGGGCGUGAAAUCCCACGGCUCAACCGUGGAAGUGCACUCGAAACUGGAUGGCUAGGGUCCUGGAGAGGAAGGUGGAAUGCUUGGUGUAGAGGUGAAAUUCGUAGAUAUCAAGCGGAACACCGGUGGCGAAGGCGGCCUUCUGGACAGUGACUGACGCUGAGACGCGAAAGCGUGGGGAGCAAACAGG
rnacentral:rRNA from 1 species